rnacentral:rRNA from 1 species
GUUGUGGGGGCCUUGUGGUUCUGCUGCCGCAGGAUUGGCCAGUGAGAAAUGUUGCGUGAAGGUGAAGCGUCUGGGAAGGCGUACCGGAGUGGGUGAGAGUCCUGUAACUGUAAGCGUGGCACUGGUGUGGGGUUGCCCCGAGUAGCGUGGGACUCGUGGAAUUUCGCGUGAAUCUGGCGGGACCACCCGUCAAGCCUAAAUACUCCUUGGUGACCGAUAGUGGAUGAGUACCGUGAGGGAAGGGUGAAAAGUACCCCGGGAGGGGAGUGAAAGAGUUCCUGAAACCGGUCGCAUGCAAGCCGUCAGAGCCUGUGUGGUGAUGGCGUGCCUUUUGAAGAAUGAGCCUGCGAGUUAGUGAUGCGUGGCGAGGUUAACCCGUGGUGGGGGAGUCGUAGCGAAAGCGAGUCCGAUAAGGGCGUGAGUCGCGUGUUCUAGACCCGAAGCGGUGUGAUCUAUCCAUGGCCAGGAUGAAGCGUCGGUAAGACGUCGUGGAGGUCCGAACCCACUUCAGUUGAAAAUGGAGGGGAUGAGUUGUGGAUAGGGGUGAAAGGCCAAUCAAACUCCGUGAUAGCUGGUUCUCCCCGAAAUGCACUUAGGUGCAGCGUUGCGUGGUUCUUGUUGGAGGUAGAGCACUGGAUGGUCUAGGGGGCUUAUCGGCUUACCGAAAUCAGCCAAACUCCGAAUGCUGGCAAGUGUAGCGUGGCAGUGAGACGGCGGGGGAUAAGCUUCGUCGUCGAGAGGGAAACAGCCCAGAUCAUCAGCUAAGGCCCCUAAGUGGUGACUCAGUGGGAAAGGAUGUGGAGUUGCGUAGACAACCAGGAGGUUGGCUUAGAAGCAGCCAUCCUUGAAAGAGUGCGUAAUAGCUCACUGGUCAAGUGAUUCCGCGCCGACAAUGUAGCGGGGCUUAAGU